rnacentral:rRNA from 1 species
AUUGAACGCUGGCGGCAGGCUUAAUACAUGCAAGUCGAGCGAGCGGCGGACGGGUGACUACUGUCUGGGAAACUGCCUGAUGGAGGGGGAUAACUCCUGGAAACGGUAGCUAAUACCGCAUACCAUCAGAUGUGCCCAGAUGGGAUUAGCUAGUAGGUGGGGUAAUGGCUCACCUAGGCGACGAUCCCUAGCUGGUCUGAGAGGAUGAACAGCCAAAAUGGAAUUGAGACACGGUCCAGACUCCUACGGGAGGCAGCAGGGGGGAAGAUUGCACAAUGGGCGCAAGCCUGAUGCAGCCAUGCCGCGUGUGUGAAGAAGGCCUUCGGGUUGUAAAGCACUUUCAGCGAGGAGGCGUUACUCGCAGAAGAAGCACCGGCUAACUCCGUGCCAGCAGCCGCGGUAAUAC